rnacentral:lncRNA from 1 species
AAAAAAAUACUCAUUACUUUUAUACUAGAAAAAUAUGUAUACAAUAAGUAUAUAAAAUAAGCACUCAAUUGAUGAAAUGACUUAAAGUCUUGAGUGAAUUUUUGGAUUGCAUGUUGCCUUCAAUAUGCUUUACUUUAGUGUUUCUGAUGUCUCUCACAAUAUGUUAAUGCAGUAACUUGUGACUUAUCAAGCAUUUCAGUUUCUAUACUAACAUAUUACAUAAUCAAAUACAAUUAAAUCUGAUUACUACUUAUACAAAUAUUUAAAAAUCGAUAAUAUUUCAAUUAUCUCAUGGUCAUUGGAAUUUGCAGCUUCUUAGGGUGUACUCAUUGCUUCAAGGAUGUCUUUUAAAAUUCCUCAUUGUUUAGCAGAGGAGUCAACUUCCUCUGGUUCUUCUACAAUCAGUGGAUAGUAAAUUCCUUCAGCUCCUUGAAGUUGUGCAAAUUGGGUUGACUGCUCUUCCUUAACAUCAUAGCUAUAGUGUUUUGUAGAUUUUCUGCUUCAUGUAUCACUGCUUCCUUGAAAGUAGAUGUUGUAACAACAUUUUCCCCCUUUUGAGAGUCAAUGGAAUCUCCCAGUCAGGAUACAAAUCUAUUGAACUCGUCUGAUGUAUUCAAAGGAAAAGGAACAAAUGGUUUGUGGUGGUGUUGCUGCUACUACUGAGAAAAUGAAAAGAAAGUUUCAAAUAUCACAUUGUAGGCUUUGUGAUUGCCAACAAACUACUAUUGAAUGUGAUCUAAGGAAAUUGUUGAGACAGCAGAACCAGAAUUGGUGUUAGCUAGCAGAACAGAGUCUCGGCAGGACGACGAGGUGAAGUAGUGUUUGAUCAAGUGGCAAGGCAAAUCAAAAGAUGAAGCAACAUGGGAAGAUGAACUCACAAUUCUCAAUCAAUUUCCCGCUUUUAACCUUGAGGACAAGGUUGUAUCUCAAGAAGGUGGAAUUGAUAGAACCCAAAAUGAUUCAUGGGCCCAAAAGAAUGUUCAAGCUGAUCCAGGUUUACAUAGGCCUAGAAUAUGGCGUGUGUACACUAGGAGAAACAGAAUUGAAAAGGCUAACAGAGCAUGAUGAGGUGGCAGAGAGAGAGAGAGAGAAAGAAAAGGUUGGGUGAUAGUUAGUUACGGGGUUUGUGGGUGUGUGAGGCGUGUAUCCUUAUAGGCACAGCCUAGCAUGAGAAUGGGGGGGAAAGAAUAUUGCAGUUUUGCAG